rnacentral:snRNA from 1 species
AUCACGUCUCGGCCUUUUGGCUAAGAUCAAGUGUAGUGUCUGUUCUUACCAGUUUAAUAUCUGAUACGUCCUCUAUCUGAGGACAAUAUAUUAAAUGGAUUUUUGGAACUAGGAGUUGGAAUAGGAGCUUGCUCCGUCCACUCUACGGAUCAACCUGGUAUUGCAGUACCUCCAGGAACGGUGCACAAAAU